rnacentral:lncRNA from 1 species
ACAACACCUGAUUUACCGUUACGUCAUUAUAAAAAAUAUAUAUGUAUAUGUGUGUGUAUAAAAUAUAUACGUAAAUAUGUAUACGUAAUAUACAAGUAAACACGGCCGGUAUUGUUGUUAGAAUUUUGGCAAAAAUUCUCUAGUAAAUUUUAAUGGAAAAUGUUUACAUAAAAAUAAUAUUAACUUUUAUCGCUUCGACCCGUCCAUGUCAAAGACCAUUUAUGAUUGUGUGUGAUUGUGUAAUGUAUGUACUGCUACGCAUGGUUGGGAUGAUAAGAAGAUAUUGGACGUUAGACUUAUUUUUCUAUACAAUGGAAUACAUGUAGAAGAAUGUGUUUGUGUGAGUGUGUGUGUGUGUUGUUUUUUUACAUUUUUAAAGACGAAUCUAUAUUAGAAAUGUGCUUUGAUAUCAUGGCACCAUCUAGCGAUGUGUGCUCGUAUUAUUUUAGUGUAUUAAGCUCUGUUCGAAAACAAUACAGUCUUUUGUUAUUGACAAAGAGUUAGCUUGUCAUAUUUCGAAAUGUCACAGAGCGUGUUUGAUACGUCUCUUUUUUUAUACUGUUGUAAGUUUUGAAAUAAAACCGGCGUUGGUUGGUUUUUAAUUGAAAAAUACACUUCUAAAGGUUUCGAUAUCAUAUUCUUUGGAGGAGUGCUUGGAAUCCGAGCAUGCGCUCUUCGAGUGGUUAGAAUCAUUUCGGAUGUGGUCGUCAGCGUACUUUCCCUUCGCCUGGAAGGAGAAAGUCGAGUUCGGUGACGUCAUCCAUCGUCAUAGCAACGGUAUGUUCGCUGUUAAUUUGUCUCCCACACGUGAAAGAUUCAAAGUUCUUCCGUCGACUUCAUCUUUUUUUUUUUCUUGUUGUAUCUGAAGGUUGGCAGAAUGGAAUACGUUCGAACUGAAUUAUUAUAAAAUUUUAGUUAUAUUAUUACGUUAUAGAAAAAUAUAUAUAUUCCUCCACAAGUAAAGAUACCAUUUUCGCCGCUAAAGAACUCCAACAGAGCAUCUGACGUCUUCGGAUAAAAGCUCUGAACAAUGAUUGACUGUAGCAUUCUACUUCACAAAAAAAGAAAUUUCGUAACGAAACAAACAUGCUUAGAAAUGGACGUCUGGACCACUUCCCUAUAAGACUAUCAUCAUAUACUUGAAGAACAUAAAUCUGACGUUCGGCAAUAACAUCAAAUCUAUUGCGAUUGAGGUAGGCCCUUUUAUAAAAGAUGACAUCAAUUUUUCUGUUUAGAAGAUGCGCUCUCUCUCUAUCUCUCUCUCUCUUUACUGGUUCGAGUAGAAAAUGUCUAACUUUAUAUCAUUUUUGUCGUUUUCCUAUCUUCUUAAACAUCAUCGAAUAUACAGCAUAACGUUUCCGCAUAGAGCUCAAGUUUUAUAUUUACAAAACAGGAUGCUUAUCAAUAUCAAAAACGGAUUGCCACACCUUCUGGCUUAGCUCAAAGUCAUCCUUUCUUUCGCUCUCUCUCUCUCUUCAUUAUCUGCUAACAUUAAACAGAGUCGAAAGUAACGUCGUCGUGUCAAUACUGCGAGUGUUUAUCGAUAAUAUGGUAACCGAAGGAUUGAAUAUAUUUAUUUUUAUAAAAUUUAAAGAUUUGCAACAGUUUAAUGGACAGUAUGUUGGACGAGACUCGUAAGUACGUUUAUCCGAUAGAAAUUAGGACAGAAAACUCUUUUCAAUGGCGUUUAAAGAGAAAUCAAUCCGUUCCAAACAAUAAACUUAAGGAACGGAACGAUAAAGACGAACGAUUUGUAUACUUAACACACACUUACAUCACCGAGUUGUUUUUAAAAAUUGAUUAUUGUCGUUUCUGCACGAUGAUUACGUUUUUUUAAAGAAAAAAAAAAGACGUCAGACGCUUUAAUAGAUUAAAUGGCAUAAAUAACGACGUUACGCUGCG